ACGCAAUUAAGGUUUCAACUUGACGAACUAGUAAAAAAAUAUCAACCCAGCUUCCAUUCAGUUUGGAGGGAAAUUUCAAGAUGCAUGCAAGAACGAGCAAACGACUCUCAAAAUUUAGAGAGAGGAGUUCGACCUGGGCGGAGGCCACGAGGAGAAAUCGCAACGUCUCCCAUGUGGUCAACGAUGCGCAUAUCAUGGUGGAAAAACUGAAGGCCCUAGGGAUGAGACCCCUACUUCUCACCGGGGCCUAUUCGAAUACUAGCCAGGUCUGGGGGACAGAAUGCGUGUUCCCCUAUGACCUCCCAGACCUGGCUAAGAACAUCAUUAAACAGAUUCAGUUUCUGUAUAGAAACCUGU